rnacentral:rRNA from 1 species
AACGAACGCUGGCGGCAGGCUUAACACAUGCAAGUCGAGCGCCCCGCAAGGGGAGCGGCCGACGGGUGAGUAACGCGUGGGAACGUACCUUUUGGUUCGGAACAACUCCGGGAAACUGGAGCUAAUACCGGAUAAGCCCUAACGGGGAAAGAUUUAUCGCCGAAAGAUCGGCCCGCGUCUGAUUAGCUAGUUGGUGAGGUAACGGCUCACCAAGGCGACGAUCAGUAGCUGGUCUGAGAGGAUGAUCAGCCACACUGGGACUGAGACACGGCCCAGACUCCUACGGGAGGCAGCAGUGGGGAAUAUUGGACAAUGGGCGCAAGCCUGAUCCAGCCAUGCCGCGUGAGUGAUGAAGGCCUUAGGGUUGUAAAGCCCUUUUGUCCGGGAAGAUAAUGACUGUACCGGAAGAAUAAGCCCCGGCUAACUUCGUG